UCCCAGUUAACCCGGGCAGUCUCAUUAGAGUCCUCGACUUUACUCGCUAGCAACUAAUGAUAAGGGUUGCGCUCGUUGCGGGACUUAACCCAACACCUCACGGCACGAGCUGACGACAGCCAUGCAGCACCUGUUCAGCAGCCCUUGCGGGAAAUAACAUUUCUGCUAUCGUCUACUGUAUGUCAAGUCUGGGUAAGGUUCUUCGCGUUGCAUCGAAUUAAACCACAUGCUCCACUGCUUGUGCGGGCCCCCGUCAAUUCUUUUGAGUUUCACCCUUGCGAGUGUACUCCCCAGGCGGUAUACUUAUCGCGUUGGCUUCGACACAGCCGGGGUUGAGCCCAGCUACAUCAAGUAUACAUCGUUUACAGCAAAGACUAC
rnacentral:misc_RNA from 1 species